rnacentral:rRNA from 1 species
UACGUAGGGUGCGAGCGUUAAUCGGAAUUACUGGGCGUAAAGCGUGCGCAGGCGGCUUUGCAAGACAGAUGUGAAAUCCCCGGGCUCAACCUGGGAACUGCAUUUGUGACUGCAAGGCUAGAGUACGGCAGAGGGGGAUGGAAUUCCGCGUGUAGCAGUGAAAUGCGUAGAUAUGCGGAGGAACACCAAUGGCGAAGGCAAUCCCCUGGGCCUGUACUGACGCUCAUGCACGAAAGCGUGGGGAGCAAACAGGA